ensembl:snoRNA
CUGGCCCUGAAUCAAGGUCCAAAGCUUCCUAACGCUCUUGGUUUCAAGCAGGAGCAUAAAGAAAUGUCUUUCUAUGAUCUGUUGGCCAUUUCACGGUGAGCAGCUGUG